rnacentral:rRNA from 1 species
GACGAACGCUGGCGGCGUGCUUAACACAUGCAAGUCGAACGGAAAGGCCCUGCUUUUGUGGGGUGCUCGAGUGGCGAACGGGUGGGUAACACGUGAGUAACCUGCCCUUGACUUUGGGAUAACUUCAGGAAACUGGGGCUAAUACCGGAUAGGAGCUCCUGCUGCAUGGUGGGGGUUGGAAAGUUUCGGCGGUUGGGGUUGGACUCGCGGCUUAUCAGCUUGUUGGUGGGGUAGUGGCUUACCAAGGCUUUGACGGGUAGCCGGCCUGAGAGGGUGACCGGCCACAUUGGGACUGAGAUACGGCCCAGACGCCAACGGGAGGCAGCAGGGGGGAAUAUUGCACAAUGGGCGGAAGCCUGAUGCAGCAACGCCGCGUGCGGGAUGACGGCCUUCGGGUUGUAAACCGCUUUCGCCUGUGACGAAGCGUGAGUGACGGUAAUGGGUAAAGAAGCACCGGCUAACUACGUG